UACCUUUAACAGGGGGAUAACACUGAGAAAUUGGUACUAAUACCCCAUAAUAUCAUAGAAGGCAUCUUUUAUGGUUGAAAAAUUCCGAUGGUUAGAGAUGGGCAUGCGUUGUAUUAGCUAGUUGGUGGGGUAACGGCUCACCAAGGCGACGAUACAUAGGGGGACUGAGAGGUUAACCCCCCACACUGGUACUGAGACACGGACCAGACUCCUACGGGAGGCAGCAGUGAGGAAUAUUGGUCAAUGGACGCAAGUCUGAACCAGCCAUGCCGCGUGCAGGAUGACGGCUCUAUGAGUUGUAAACUGCUUUUGUACGAGGGUAAACGCAGAUACGUGUAUCUGUCUGAAAGUAUCGUACGAAUAAGGAUCGGCUAACUCCGUGCCAGCAGCCGCGGUAAUACGGAGGAUUCAAGCGUUAUCCGGAUUUAUUGGGUUUAAAGGGUGCGUAGGCGGUUUGAUAAGUUAGAGGUGAAAUUUCGGGGCUCAACCCUGAACGUGCCUCUAAUACUGUUGAGCUAGAGAGUAGUUGCGGUAGGCGGAAUGUAUGGUGUAGCGGUGAAAUGCUUAGAGAUCAUACAGAACACCGAUUGCGAAGGCAGCUUACCAAACUAUAUCUGACGUUGAGGCACGAAAGCGUGGGGAGCAAACAGGAUUAGAUACCCUGGUAGUCCACGCAGUAAACGAUGAUAACUCGUUGUCGGCGAUACACAGUCGGUGACUAAGCGAAAGCGAUAAGUUAUCCACCUGGGGAG
rnacentral:rRNA from 1 species